UACGUAGGCAGCGAGCGUUGUUCGGAGUUACUGGGCGUAAAGAGUGCGUAGGCGGUUUUUUAAGUUUGGUGUGAAAUCUCCCGGCUUAACUGGGAGGGUGCGCCGAAGACUGGAAGGCUUGAGUAUGGGAGAGGUAAGCGGAAUUCCUGGUGUAGCGGUGAAAUGCGUAGAUAUCAGGAGGAACACCUGCGGUGUAGACGGCUUACUGGACCAUAACUGACGCUGAGGCACGAAAGCGUGGGUAGCAAACGGG
rnacentral:rRNA from 1 species